AGACUCUAUGAAUAUACCCAAACUGAGGUAACUGCAAUUCGGAGAGCAAGAAUGGGCGGCGGAUGUUCAAAACAAUCUUAUGUGAAAGACCAAGGAAAUGUUAAUACAUUUAAACCUUCUGAGAGUCCAAAGGAAGAGAAUAAAACUAUACAGGAGGAGAACAAGGAGGUAAAGAAUGCAAAUGCGGGAGAAGAAGUCGCUGAAAUUGCACGUGUAUAUUCUAUGAGAAGCACGAUGCUACUUAGUGACUACCUUGACCGUGUAACCUACAAAUUGGAGAUUGCAGAGAAUGUGAAAGAAGAACCGAAACCCAAACUCGGAAUAUCAGACACAACAUUGGAUGAAAAUGACGAUGCAUAUGAAAUUGCAGAUAAAAUUACUAGCCGGCUUCUUAGAAAGUACCUUAGAAACGAAAUGAAAUUGGUUAAGCAUGAAUUUGAUAUAAAUACGACAUUAUGACGUCCUUUUAGCAAACAAUUCUAAAGCUUUCUUAAUUUAAAUUUUAUGUUGUGUAUAUUUGUGUCAUACCCAGUCUGGAACAUAUCUGUACCCGCGACCGUUUUAUUUUUACUUCAUUUCGUAAUAUUUUAUCGAUGUUUCGCCAGAUUUCAUAUUUAUAUAAUAUUUUCGCUUGGUCUAAUGUUUAUAAAAUUCGUGUUUUGAUAACUUAUCUGUGGAAUUAUGAUUGUGUCAGUUUAUUUAAAAUGCUAUGAAUGAGAUUUUAUAUUUAUUAUUUAAAUAACUUACAUCAUUACCUGGAUUUUGAUA